rnacentral:rRNA from 1 species
UUGGAGGUUGUGCCCUUGAGGCGUGGCUUCCGGAGCUAACGCGUUAAGUCGACCGCCUGGGGAGUACGGCCGCAAGGUUAAAACUCAAAUGAAUUGACGGGGGCCCGCACAAGCGGUGGAGCAUGUGGUUUAAUUCGAUGCAACGCGAAGAACCUUACCUACUCUUGACAUCCAGAGAACUUUCCAGAGAUGGAUUGGUGCCUUCGGGAACUCUGAGACAGGUGCUGCAUGGCUGUCGUCAGCUCGUGUUGUGAAAUGUUGGGUUAAGUCCCGCAACGAGCGCAACCCUUAUCCUUUGUUGCCAGCGGUUCGGCCGGGAACUCAAAGGAGACUGCCAGUGACAAACUGGAGGAAGGUGGGGAUGACGUCAAGUCAUCAUGGCCCUUACGAGUAGGGCUACACACGUGCUACAAUGGCAUAUACAAAGAGAAGCGACCUCGCGAGAGCAAGCGGACCUCACAAAGUAUGUCGUAGUCCGGAUCGGAGUCUGCAACUCGACUCCGUGAAGUCGGAAUCGCUAGUAAUCGUAGAUCAGAAUGCUACGGUGAAUACGUUCCCGGGCCUUGUACACACCGCCCGUCACACCAUGGGAGUGGGUUGCAAAAGAAGUAGGUAGCUUAACCUUCGGGAGGGCGCUUACCACUUUGUGAUUCAUGACUGGGGUGAAGUCGUAACAAGGUAACCGUAGGGGAACCUGC